rnacentral:lncRNA from 1 species
AAGCAGAGGAGCAUAGAAGUCCUGAGGAUAGAAACAACUGAGGUCCUGCCCUGCCAUUAGCUGCAACAAAGCAGGGAAAUUGAGAAUGUUUAUUUAUUCUUUCAGCCAGUCAGAAAUGUUUAACCUUAUCAAUGAUCUUAGAAGCGAUCUCCCUGAGAAAUCUUGAAGUGAUGCACUCUUUGAGAUGCAUUUGGGACAGGCCAAGGUGUAAAUGUAUGCAGAUUCCCUUAGGAUCAGUUUUUCAGUUGCAGCUGAGGUUGGCAGAGUCUUCGACACCAAUCAGGCAUGUUGCUCCUGAGUUUCACCAUGGGAAGGAUUUCAGUGCCUGGGUAUGGUGACAGUAGGGGCUUAUUUGCAAUACUAGCUGUGGGGAAGGAGAAGCUGAGCUUUCCAGUCUGCUUGCUGAGCUUUUCCCAUGCUUUUUUCCCCAGCUUUCCAGUGAUGCACAGCACAGUCUCUCCUGGACAUGGACAAGCAAACCCUGCCUUCCAGAACCAGAAGUUUCUCUCUCUGGGAUACCAGCACCUUGUAUGUCCACCCAGAAGAUGCAAAGACUAUAAGCUUACAGCGCGGGAGAAUGAGCCAGGAGAGCCGAGCGUGGCGUUCCCACCCGUGACCAUGGCAGAGCACAGCCUGAUGCAGGGAUGGGAGACCCAAAGGGAUGCUGCGGUGCUGCAAAAACAAGGUAAAGCCUUUCUGCUUUAUGUCAUUUUAUUCCCAAGGGAUCUGUGGUAAAGCCCCUACCCCUUCUGUGAGAACAGAUAAAUCAUUUCGGAGCAAUUUUUACUAUCUCUAUUCCCUCUGCUGUGUAUUGGAGGACUGUUUUUCACCAGGAUCUCUAUUUCAUAGAUUCACAUUAGUAAAUUCAUAGAAUCACAGAAUGGCUUGGGUUGGAAGGGACCUCAAAGUUCCAACCCCUAUUUCUUACUUAAAGCUGUCAGGACAAUGCAGUUAUGAAUCAGGCCAAGUCGUUGUUGCUAUAUCAGAAGAAACCUAAGAACGGACUGGCUUUAAUAAGAAAUAAGUUAUAAUCCAUCCCCACAGUUAAAAUUCACGCAUAUGUGACUAUCAAAGCAGCGAUCACACAUUGCUCAUGCACAUUUACAAUCAGUUUCGUUUACAUUUUGGGAUGUACAGUAAGCAUUUAUUUUUGCAGGGAAUAUUUGCUACCCAAGAAAUUUUAGUGGCUCCCUGUUGUAGGAACCAGCCCCUCUGCUUAUCCACAGGCUGAACACAGCUCAGACAGGCGGCGUCUGAGCUCCCUGCACCGCCGCAGUGCUGAACUUAGGCUCAAAUGGGAGAAAUUGCCUCUCUUCAAGAUGAGAGGGGAUUCAUUUUCCAUGCUAGCUCUUUCCUGGGGGUCUUUGCCAAGAAGAGAAAAACCACUUGCAGUUUUCUGUCUUUUCACCAUUUUUUUUUUUUUUUUUUUAAAGAACAUCAAAGUUAUCACUCCUGCUUUC